rnacentral:rRNA from 1 species
GACGAACCGUGCGAACGUUAUUCGGAAUCACUGGGCUUAAAGCGCGUGUAGGCGGGUGGGAACGUCGGCCGCUGAAAUCCCCCGGCUCAACCGGGGAAGUGGCGCCGAAACGGCCCGCCUGGAGGAACGUAGGGGGAGCUGGAACUUCCGGUGGAGCGGUGAAAUGCGUUGAGAUCGGAAGGAACGCCCGUGGCGAAAGCGAGCUCCUGGACGUUUUCUGACGCUGAGACGCGAAAGCCAGGGGAGCGAACGGGAUUAAGAAACCCCGAGUACGUACCA